rnacentral:rRNA from 1 species
AUGGCCGCAACCAAUGCAAACACACAGUUGAUCAUGCAAAUUCUCCAAGAGCGUAAUCAAGGCAACCAAGGGAACCAAGGCAACAAUCAGAAUCACUUUGCUACACUCAACCAGUUCCUUGCUAACGCGCCAAAGACUUUCAGCAAUUGUGUUGAGGCAACCGAUGCUGACGAUUGGCUCGUGGAUCUGUGCAAGCAUUUCGAGUGCAGUAACGUCAGGCCUGAGGACUUUGUCAAGUUCGCUUCCUUCCAACUCAAAGAUCAAGCUGCAGAAUGGUUCCAGCAGUACAAGGAUUCUAGAGGUGGACGUGUUAUCACUUGGGAUGAAUUCCGUCAAGAUUUCAGAGCUCAUCAUAUUCCUCAGAGCGUGGUUGAAAGCAAGCGUGAGGAAUUCCGCAACCUGAAGCAAGGCUCUUUGUCUGUCUAUGACUACAACAAUUUGUUUCAGAAGCUCGCCCGCUUUGCCAAGCAGGACGUCCCUGAUGAGAAGAGCAUGAUAUACCAGUUCAGGGGUGGUCUCAGAGAAGAAAUUCAGCUAGCUCUUGUUCUCUUUGAGCCCUUGAGGUACGAUGAGUUCUACAACAUGGCACUGAAGCAAGAGGCCGCUCAGUUGAGGUGUGAUGCUUCCAAGAAGCGAGUCAGAGAUGCUACUCCUUCUUCCUCUACUCAAGUGGCCAAGCAGCAGAAGUAUUGGCUUCCUCCUCCUCCGUUCCGUCAGCCGUAUCAGCAGAAGAGCAAAGGUGGCAGUGGAUCUUCCCACCCACCCAACCCUGGCUUUCAGAACAAGACUUCGUCGCAAGCUCCAAGAUCGAGUGCUCCGUAUCACCGUCCGCUUUCGGAGGUCACGUGCAACAAGUGCCAACAGAAGGGUCACUAUGCCAACAAGUGUCUCAAUCAGAGGCGUCUUCCUCCUCCUCCUCCUCCUGUGAGAUCGGCAAGUACAACUGUGGUCAAGCAUAACCCCAAGCACGCUAAGGUCAACUUGCUGAAUGCAGCUCAGGCAGAGGACUCAUCAGAUGUCAUCAUGGGUAACUUUCCAGUUAACUCUUUUCCCGCAAAAGUUCUUUUUGACACUGGUGCAUCGCAUUGUUUCAUGUCAAGAUCAUUUGUUUCCACGCAUGACUUCGUUUCACAAAUGUUGGGUAAACCUAUGGGAGUGGUUUCUCCGGCUAAGUCUAUGAGGGCUACUUCAAUAGUCCCGGAUGUUUCUAUCAUGUUGGGUGACUUCAAGUUUCUGGCUUCUCCAAUGGUUCUGGGUAACUCGGAUAUUGAUCUUAUUCUCGGGAUGGAUUGGCUUUCUAAGCACAAGGCUCAGCUUGAUUGUGCAGCCAGGCAGAUUCAAUUGACUCAUUCGUCUGAGGAUGUAAUUGUGUUUGCCUCUCGUGAUGAUACCAUCCGUCUGUUUUCUCUCAAUGAGAAGGGUGAACUCGAUGCCAUCUUGCAAAUUCCAGUCGUUUGCGAAUAUCAAGACGUCUUUCCAGAAGAGCUUCCAGGAAUGCCUCCGCACCGGCCAGUUGAAUUCGUUAUUGAUCUUGAGCCUGGCACGGAACCAGUGUGCAAGCGUCCUUACAAGCUCGGACCUAAAGAGUUGAAGGAGCUGAAGAAGCAACUCGAUAUUCAAGAGAGAAUGGGUCUCAUCCGGCCUAGUUCUUCUCCGUGGGGUUGUGGUGUUCUUUUUGUGAAGAAGAAGGAUGGAACAUACUGA